AAUCUCUUGCACGCACUUACAAUUUUUUUCUCAAUUGUUCGCAGGAUCAUUGCUGGACUUCGUCUACUCUUGUGAUGGACUAGGCCCGCUCCACGUCCAUCCAUGACCCAGUUGCAGAAUCACAUGCACACCGCUCAAGCGAGUGAGUUAUGGCAAUGGAGCAUAUGUCUACUGACUUCUGGGUGCAGUACGGUUGUGCAGUGUCCUCCUCUCCGCCGAGGUUAUGGUUCUUCCCAGGAGAGACUAAAUGAAUAAGGCUAAAGGAUUCGAGAAGGGCAGCCUUAUAAAGGUAGGAUUUUUCCUUUUCUAUGCAUGGGGUAUUGCCAUUUUUUUGUGUAUUUAGCAGUGGGGGAAGUGAACAGUGAAACAGUGAUUAAAAAGAUCAUCAACAAAUUUAGCUAACCUUCGUGUCAUAAUAAUCUGUGAGUUGU